rnacentral:rRNA from 1 species
UACGUAGGGUCCGAGCGUUGUCCGGAAUUACUGGGCGUAAAGAGCUCGUAGGUGGUUUGUCGCGUUGUCCGUGAAAACUCACAGCUUAACUGUGGGCGUGCGGGCGAUACGGGCAGACUGGAGUACUGCAGGGGAGACUGGAAUUCCUGGUGUAGCGGUGGAAUGCGCAGAUAUCAGGAGGAACACCGGCGGCGAAGGCGGGUCUCUGGGCAGUAACUGACGCUGAGGAGCGAAAGCGUGGGGAGCGAACAGG